CCUACGGGCGGCUGCAGUCGAGAAUUUUUCACAAUGGGGGAAACCCUGAUGGAGCGACGCCGCGUGGAGGAUGAAGGCUUUCGGGUUGUAAACUCCUGUCAAGUGGGAACAAGAAAGUGAUAGUACCACUAGAGGAAGAGACGGCUAACUCUGUGCCAGCAGCCGCGGUAAUACAGAGGUCUCAAGCGUUGUUCGGAUUCAUUGGGCGUAAAGGGUGCGUAGGCGGCGAUCUAAGUCUGGUGUGAAAGCUCGGGGCUCAACCCCGAAAUUGCACU
rnacentral:rRNA from 1 species